GACUCAGUAGUUCAACUGGAUAGAACAUCAGAUUUCGGCUCUGAGGGUUGGGGGUUCGAGUCCUCUCUGAGUCG
rnacentral:tRNA from 1 species